UUUUUUUGUGAAUUUUCUCUUUUCUGGUUAUUUUUAAUUCAUUUUAAAUAGUUUUUGAUAUUCAAAAAAUACAAAAAUAUUUUCCCAACCUCUUUGGAUGAUGAUGGAUCUAUGAAAAAUAUUCUCAUCAAUUUAUUAAUUGAUUUGAGAUUUAUUUGAGAUUUUAAUUCAAUUAGGUUAUUUUUAUGCAUUUUUAAUUGAUUAAAAAUAGUUUCUAACUUCUAAAAAUAUUGAAAUUUUUUUGUCAAACUUUGUUUGACCUUGUUG
rnacentral:lncRNA from 1 species